GAUAUUUCGUCUUCAUAUCGUCUUCAAGCUCCCAAGUAGCCUCUCUCUCUUCAUGAUUACUCCAAUGAAUCUUUACGUAUGGAAUGGUACGCCGUCUUAGAACUUGCUCUUUUCGGUCAAUAAUUCGCAGAGAAAAUUCUUCAUAGGUUAGAUCUUCAUGAACUUGCAAUGGCUCAUACUUUAUCACACUGUUUGGAUCAGGUAUAAACUUC
rnacentral:lncRNA from 1 species